rnacentral:rRNA from 1 species
GAUCCUGGCUCAGGACGAACGCUGGCGGCGUGCCUAAUACAUGUAAGUAGAACGCUGAAGAGAGGAGCUUGCUCUUCUUGGAUGAGUUGCGAACGGGUGAGUAACGCGUAGGUAACCUGCCUUGUAGCGGGGGAUAACUAUUGGAAACGAUAGCUAAUACCGCAUAACAAUGGAUGACACAUGUCAUUUAUUUGAAAGGGGCAAUUGCUCCACUACAAGAUGGACCUGCGUUGUAUUAG